UGGAGAAGGGUGAAGUUUUGCCCACAGAGGCCAGAUUUGACUCUAACUGCAUCACCCCUGGAACGGAUUUCAUGGCCAGGCUACAGGAACAGCUUAAAUAUUUUGUUCACAAUAAACUGUCCACAGACAAAGCAUGGCAGGGAGUGAAUGUGUAUUUGUCUGGUCAUGAGACCCCUGGUGAAGGAGAGCACAAGAUCAUGGAGUUUAUCCGUUCUGAGACCACCAAACUGGGUCAUACCCCAAACACAAGACACUGCCUUUAUGGUCUGGAUGC